rnacentral:lncRNA from 1 species
AUCCUGCAGUACACUACUCAGAAUGUCAUGACAUCAGCCAAGACAUCAGAGUACAACUAGAUAUUCUAACAUACAAUGCAGUCAAACAAACAUCUCCACAGCAUGUCAUGACAUUAGUCAAGACAUUAGAAUCCAGCUAGUGUUUUACCAUACAAUGCAGCCAAUUAAACAUCUACAAAAUAUCAUGGAGUGUCUAAGCUUGGAUGUGGCUAUCUUUAUUUGAUGCCUUUGCUCUUCAAGAUAAUAUAAUUGUGCAUUUGUGUGUUGCUUGAUUCUGAAUGUCCAAGGGAAUUCUGGGUUUCUAUUGACAUUCUUAUCUAUUGGAUUGCUACCCAUUGGUCAGAUCUUUUCAACUCUUAACUUUUAAUUUUGUGCAUAGAAUUAGUCUCUUCAUCUUCUCCCCAUUUCUGUAAUUUCAAAAUCCCUCCCUCCUUUUCAAAAUCUUCUUUGAUUGAACUUAUUUUGUUCUAAACUUUGACCACUUUGCAAAAAGAUAGAAACUUUGGCCUUAUGCCAUUGCACUUUCAAACUUCUUUUCUUAAAUCAAAUUUGUAAAUAAACUUUACUAUACUUAACUUAAACUUUCAGAAAAGCCAAAAAUAACUAACCCAUUCAAACCUUUUUUAGGCCUUUGUGCCUUUCAAAAUUCAAUUUUUGUUAAAAGCAAUGCACCCACUUUGAAAUUUGUAUCACGAACUACGAGGUUUUGAUCCCUCAUUUUUAUGUUGGUACGUAGGCACAAGUCCGAAGGUCUUGUCUAGCACAAAAAUAUAAUUAAUGAAUUAUUUUCUCAUCCCCCUAUUCUAUUUGUUUGUAAACAUCAUUUUUGUACCAAAUACAUAUGCACACAAAAAGGGUUUCCUAGGAGUACCUAGGAUACUUUGGGUGUUAACACCUUCCCUCUGUGUAACCAACCCCCUUACCUGUAAUCUCUGACAUUUUAUUAGUUUUGAUUUGAAAACUUCUUACUUUUUGGUUUUGUUCGUACUUUUUCCCUUUUCCCUUGGAAACAGUAAAAACGCGGUGGAGACUCUUGUUAUUUGAUGUCUAGCUUACCCAUAGCUUGAUGAUCAUGAAUUUACCGCUACAGAAAUUAAGUGGCGACUCUGCUGGGGAGUAGUCUCCAAUGGGUUUAGCCUACUUUUUGUGUGUAUAUAUUUGUAUAUAUGUGAUGUUUGUAUAU